CCGAGAUUCUUCAACGAAUCCUCCCUCUUCCUUUCAAGCCAGAUUAAGAAGACAAUAAUGAAGACCUAGUCUCUGAUGAGGAAAUUGAGGAUCAAAGACUUUAGGUGAAAUGGCUUUCAUGUAUCCCCUGGAGCACUUUGCACAGGGAGCAUGCUGUUUCUCGCCGAAGUCGGUUGAACUAUAUGGGCCAGUUUCUCUUGUCGGCUUCUUACAAGCUUUGAAAUGGAAGAAGAAAUGCACAGCAGGGUAAUCCAGCCCUUUGAAAUUUGGGAAACUGGGCAAGAUGCA